UGUGGGUUUUUAAGCCUGGUAUCAGUAUAUGUUUGCAGAUUGUUAUUGAUCUUUUGUACUUGACGACAUUAGGUCGUAGAAUCUAUCUGUGAUAAAUCACUAGAACUAGUACAUAUCAAUGCCCAUGCCGGCACCAUCUCUUAGAAUUGUUCUUUGUUGCAUGUUUGUGGUCGCAGGAAGAAUGUGAGGAUCUACGUUACAGAAUGAAAGAAGGCCAUCUUAAAAGAAUGGAAGACACCUGUUUCUGCUCACACCACUGCCGAGAUUGAAAGGAACAAAUAAAAGAUCUUAAGCCUCUGAAACAGGGGAUGCCCAAUAAAGUUGAAGAGUGCCCUCGUUCUUCUUCUUUAAGUCCCACCGCUGCAGGUUUGCAACCCCGAAGAGUGGGCUCUACUCCUUCCUAUAGCUUUAAUUUUAGAUGAAACGAAUGAGCUAAGAAAAGAAGGGAGGUUCGUCUGAUAUGUUCUAGUUUUGCAUAUGGUCAUUCCUCACAGCUUCCACACUUCAUCAACUGAAGAUAUUUCCACUAUGUUGUUAAACAGUUCUACUCUAAGCUUAAGGAAAAGAUUCAUGCAAAGGAAGUGGAGAAAACUACCAUGCAGGCCAAAUCUAAGGGUCAGAUUUCUUUGUAAAAGUUUCAGAGUGGAAACUGCAACAGAAGCAACAAAGAGAGCAACAAGAAAUAGUUGAUUUAACAAUGGGAAACAAUGAGCUUGGCAAAGAUUCAGAAUCUUUGACUUAGCCAAUAAUGGAUGGUAGCAACAUGCAACUGGAGACUUUGGUAUCAAUUUGUAUUAGAUCCAAUUUUUAACACUACUUCACAAUUGUUGUCAAGUUGAAUGCUUGAAUUCCAGCUUAUAAUGGGUGGUUGAAUCAUUUCUUUCAUAAGCCAUAAAAAUUCCUUCUUUCCCUAAAAAGUGGAAUAAAAAGUUAUUGGCCCCACACUGAUAAUUCUAUAAGAACUUGCAUAAACUUGAAAUAUUUUUUUUCUUGGAGAAAAGAACUCAUAUAUGGGUCGGUCCAUAAGAAUCCAAUAUAAAAUGGUGCAUGUCUGACAUAUGGCCUCGAGCCAUUUCUCAAACAUCACUUCAUGGUUCUCCAGUUACUCCUAAUUGCCUUCAUUGUCAUUUCACAAAUUGUAAACACAAUGGAUCUUCUUGAAAUGGGUGAUGAUCAACAAUUAUAUAACAUGGGAUGAACAUGUAGAGAGAUAAACAUCAAUGGGGAUAGAGAACCCAUUAUCUUAGCAUUACCUUUGAUAGGCCAAUGACAGCUGAUGUGUUUCAGUUGUAUGAUCACUACACCAAAAUCGAUUAAUAUUGCCAAUACAAUCUAUUUUCUAUGAGAUAGCAUGAUCACUCCCAACAGAUGGUUCGCCACACAAAAAAGGAUAUGCCUGUCCAUGGGUGAUUGUAAGUCUUGGGCUGAACUAUCUAUUGGUGUGAUAUUUGUAAGUUGUGAUGUUUCUUAUAACUUGAAAAUUUUCUUUUCAUCUUC